UACGAGGGGUCCUAGCGUUGUUCGGAAUCAUUGGGCGUAAAGGGUGUGUAGGUGGCGCCGUAAGUCGGGUGUGAAAUCUCGGGGCUUAACUCCGAAACUGCAUUCGAUACUGCGGUGCUUGAGGACUGGAGAGGAGACUGGAAUUCAUGGUGUAGCAGUGAAAUGCGUAGAGAUCAUGAGGAAGACCAGUGGCGAAGGCGGGUCUCUGGACAGUUCCUGACACUGAGACACGAAGGCCAGGGGAGCAAACGGG
rnacentral:rRNA from 1 species